rnacentral:lncRNA from 1 species
GAGCACCGGAGCCUUCCGCCGGCGGCCCCUGGCGGCCGCGGCCCGCAGCAACGGCCCGGCCCCGCGGGCAGGAGGGAGGCUGCGAGGAGGUACCGGGCGCUCUCGUGCUCAGCCGGGCGGCCGCGUGGCGAGGAGCGGUGCUGAAGGGCGCCCCGGACUGGCCGCGGCAGGUGCAGGCGUCGCGUGCAACGCAGCUGUGGGGAGGCUCGUGCCGGCGGCUGCGGGUGCUGCAAGUAACUCCGUUACUCUCUUUAAUUGCUCCAGUGCAAAAUGAACCUUUCCAACAAGGCCACGAAUAUAUAGCUCCUCGGUCCGUGAUCUCCACCGUACCACUUGUAUCUUUCCCCCCGCUUGCCUUGCCGGCGGUGUGAACUCUCCAGUCUUAGAACUUCAUUUCAGCCAACUCUGCUCAGGAAGUUCCCACAGAUCUCAGCUCCCGACUGGGGAAGGACAUAGAGAACAGAGUUCUGGGAAGGGCAGCUCCUAACACGUGCCGUCGUUCAGGGUUGGAUCAGGAUGCCUUGGCCAGCUCCAGCCUCCUUUGCAGCAGAGGUAUAGGUCCUGCAACAGAUUCACAUGGCUCUGAUGGGGACUCCAGAACGAUCUAUACAACUGUACGGGAACUGCUGAAUCACAGCCUGAAGCUCUGAUUGAUCAGCUGAGACAAGCACUGAGUGAAGGCAACCCACCUGUGUGACUGGAAGGGCUGGAGCCUGGCUCCACCUCUCCUGGACCCCAUUUAAGGGCUGACUGCCACUGGGGAAGGAUCUUUUUCUGGAUAUUGCUCUUCUUGGAGUUUUUCCUGCAAGCCUACAACAGC